UCAACCUUGAGUGAUCACAGUUUUUGAGAAUCAUGAUGAGGCAUUAAAGAAGAGGAGGAGUGUCUCAAGGGAGGUGAGCUGGAGGUGAUGCAAGCCCUUGACUUCUAGGAUAUUGGAGGAAAGAGACAGAAGUACAGUAUAUCACUUUACCUGUCUGCACUACAUGUGUGAUGUUGGAAAAGUCACUUAAUUUCUUCAUUCAUCAGUUUCUACGUCUUCAACCAAAGAGGUGGAGCCUGAUGGACUGCUUCCUUGCCAAACCCUCGCGUCCACUCCCCAACACACGUUGUGCUAAUUAAUGGCAUUUCAUCGCUUGAUUUUGAAAAAUGAAAGUGUGAACUACUUGUGAAAGAGCUCUUAGCAAGAUAAGAAAGAAAAAAUGACUCCUUAUCUCCCUAACCUACAGAAAAGCUGCCUCAGACUCAGGGCUGGGGCCCUUGGGACUCAAAAGAGAAAAGGUGGAGAAAAGAGAAAGCCUACUAUUUUCUUCAUUUUGCCCCUGCUAACAUCCAAUGCACUUAGGAGCCUCGAUGUCUGCUCUCCAAGAGAUGUCUGAUCUGAAAGCAUGUUGUGGUCCGCUACACACAAGAGCAAAAGAAGAGCAGAAAGGAGCUCAGUGCCAAGACCAUAGCCACAGGAAGAAAACCAGCUCUUAGGGCUGCAGCUCUAAAGACAGGCCAGGUCAUUACAGGAACGUCUGCUCCCUUAGCCUUGCCAGACAGAAGAGGGUUAAGAAAGGAACUGCUGACCCUGAUAUGCAAACUGCCACGAGUGCUUCCUGCCUUUCUAUCAGCGUCAGAUGGCUAGCGAUGGAUGGCUGUAAGGUUGAUGUAAUUAAUAUUUUAUUUUCAGCGCCACGGUGCUGGUUGGGUGCACCAGACAAAUCAACCAACAGAUUAAAGAGUGAUGGAGAAAGCUGUGUUUUGGGCCUCAUUUGGGAACAGAAUGGAAGAGUUGAGGGUGGAAGGGACCUCAGCAAGUCUUCUGAUCCAUGUUUCAGCCUUCAUUUCCCCAUAACCUCAAGGAGAGAGUUGCUUUUCCUGUUCUUCAAAUGAGUUCCUUGAAUUCACACUCUAUUUCUUUGAAUUUGCACAGACUGUUGAGGAACAGGCGGCAGGGUCACUCUACCUCUGCUCAGACAAGCCUGGAAAAGAAAAAUUUUACAUAGAAGACUGAGCUGGAAGAGGCCUGGGAACUUGGGAAUUCCCACUUCCACACUGCCCACUCUAGUUCUCAAGAGGCAGCUAUGCUGCAGUACAGACCACUGAAUUUAGAUUCAGGAAUCUGGGUUUACAUCUCACUCCUCCUCUUACUUGCAAGUCACUUACCACACCAGGCCUCGGUUUCUUGGACAAUAAAAUGGGGAUAACGUUGCCCCAUGUGGUUGUUGGUGGUCAUGAAAUUAUGCACACGAGCACGCCUUGUAAUCUAGGUUAGACCUGCACUAACCUAGAUUAGCUGACCAGGGUGGAAGGUGGGAGGGGCAGGCUUCAGUGUGUGACUUACCUAGAGGCCAAGGGGAGUCACCAUGGAUAGGGCAGCACUUGUAAGUCCCCUGCUCUCUCAAUGUGGCUCUGAGAAUCUCCAGGAAGAAUUGGCUGGUUGAAUUCUCAACUCUACCAAGAAAGGUGUGCUGGAGACCAGGGUCAUAGACGUCUCCUUGUUGAUGUAUGAAAAUCAGGAAGCCGUCUCGGGUCCUCUUUACCAGGACAUAGUGUAAUUAUUCAUCUUCUUCCUUGUCAGUUGGCACUGGAAAAUUUUGCUUCUUCUAAAAGGAACAAAUGUCUCUAGCUCUUGUUCCUCCAACAAGGUGUCUGGCUUGAUUCCUAAAGUAAAUAAAUAAACAAAUAGAUUGAUAGAUAAUAAAUGCAUCAAGGUAAAAGGAAGACAGAGAAAUUAAAAAGCCACAUCAGAGUAUCAAGGACUGGGGUACCAGCGUGGGGACCACCCUCCUUUUCCGUAUUCCCACAAACUCUCCCUGGGACAUCUUCAUCAGAGGAGUCAUUCAUUCAUUCAUUCGUUCGUUCAUGCAUCUAUUUGGCAAGCAUCCUCUGGCUUGUAUGGUGUUCUCAGUGCUGGGCUGGCUCUGUGGGGAGGACAGGGAUUUGGUCUCCCAGGGGUUUGCCAGACCCAGGGAACUACAGGGCCUGUGGUUCUGAGGCUCCAGGGCUGCUCUCAGCUGAGCUGUAGGAGGACACGAGGGCAGAUCUCCCCCAAAGCUUCCCUGGAGGACUGAAGCAUUCUGCUUCUGGGACAGUCUGUUGGCCCUUUCUUCCACAUCUCAACUUUCAGUGUCUCAGCGACUGGCCUAUGUACUCUUGGGCUUGCUUGAGGACCUUGAGGAAAUGAGUCUAAAUCAGCAAAUGCCCUGUCCUCAGAGAACAGCCUCGUUAGCUGUGCAUGCAGUCUGCGCCCUUUCUCUUUUUGCUGCACAUGGCAGCGUCUUCCCCCUACAAUGAGGCCAAUAGCUUGGCAGCGGUGAUGUUGAUAUUUAGCUUCAGACUGCUGUUAAUGCUUCUUUCCCUCAUAUUUGUGGAUGGUUUUCUUUUAUUUUUUAUUGUAAUAUACUUAUUUUGGAUCUUAAAUUUAUACAGCAAUGCAGCUCCUUCCAAGGAAGAAGCCAAAGUGCCAAUCUUCCAUAAGACAAGAGCCUGUAGCCACGGCACAGGAUCUAACAAAAAAUAUUACUGCGUUAAAAGUAAUUUUUAGCAGCAGUUAAGUGCCUGCUGUCGUACUCUGUCCAUAUCAAGUGCCCUGCAAAUGUUGAUGCUGAAUUAAAGAAAACACAAAACAAAACAAACAUAAUGGGAAGAGGGAGUAAGUAGAGUGGGCAAUGAAAAUUAAAUGAGAAAAAACAAAGUUAAAGCAUGAAAAAAGGUUUAAUGGAGUAUUAUAGAAUUAUCUACUGAAAGGACAAAGUAGAGCAAACUAAAAAUAAAAAGGCAAUAGAACAGCUUAGAUAAGAGGAAUGUAGAGGCAGAGAAAGGCUGGAGAGGUAAUUAGGACAAUUACCUCCAUGCAAUGGUUUUCAAUCUUGGCCCCACACUGGGACCACCGGGGGAGUUUUAAGAACUACUGAAGCCUUGGUGCCACCCCCACGGAGUCUGAUUUCAUUAGUCUGGGGUGGGUUUUGGGCAACAGGAUUUUAAUAACUUCCUUAGAUAAUUCUGAUGUGCAGCCAGGGUUGAAAGCCUCUGUGUAACAAAAAGAAGAAUUGUAGGACAGUAAAGGCUUAUACACUGCUGUACUGAGGGGACAAGGAAGAGGUGUCACCUGUGACCAUAGGGCCUGCUGUGGCAUUGGGGUCGGCCAGUCUUCUGCUCCUUGUCCUUUCUCUAUGACCAGCGCGGACCCCCAACACCUUUGCUGCCUGGUGAUUGCUCACUUCUUACAAACUUAGGUCAGCACCAACCAUCUCCCUGUUCCCUUGAUCUCUUUCAACAGUGCUGGGCACUUAGUGGGUGCUUAGUAAAUAUUUGCUAGGUGCUAUCAUACCUGGCGUUCUGGGUCCUUCUGUGCUAGUUGAAAUGGGCUAAGUCUGUGUUCUUGGUUUCUCCUCCUAAUCCUGCCCUGACCUUUCAGAUAGAAAUUUUGUCCUAUCCAGCUCCCUUCUGAGAGGUAGAAUUCAGCCGGGGAGCCCACUAGCUGGGUUUCCUUACAUUGGGACAUCACUGUGUGUGUGUGUGAGAUGGAACCCAGCCUGUAGCGCCCUGGACUCAUAGAGUAAUGGGUUCUUGCUAUAUUUCAACUUUGCAUUCUUUUUCCCUCCCUCCCUCCCUCCCUCCCUCCCUUCCUUUCUUCCUUCCUUCCUUCCUCUGUUUUUGUCUUACAAUUCCCAGGCUCAUGGCAGACCAUAGUAAUCCAAGGAGACCUACCAUUAGGAGUGAAAAUGUGUCCAGUUCCCUGAAAUGGCAACUUGUUUUUGGAGGGAGAGAGAUUGCUUUCUGCUCUCCUGGAAUUGCAGAUUUCACAGUGAAGAUUUGCUGCCCCAGGGAGAGCAGUGGGUGGAAUGUAAAGUUAUUGCUGUCUCUGGAAAUCCUCUUUGAUUUGUUCUGCUCGCUGGAAGACAGUGGGGGUGUGCUGGUCCUCAGGUAGAACUUGGAGAAGCCACGGCACAGGUUUUCAUGCUAAUAAUAGACUAAUCCUGUGUUUUUGUUUGUAGAAGCCCAUUUAUAAAAAAUAAAACAAUGGUAAUUAUGUACUUCCAUUCAACAAUAUCCCAAUAAAGAGGUAAAACUGGAAAAACCUGGAUUGGGAGCAGAUGGAAAAUUAGUUUAAAUGGGCCUGAACAGGAGCCCCUCCCUCUUUGUAGUAGUCUCUGCACACAGGAAAAAACAUUUCCCACUUUCCUCCUCUGAAAUGGAGCAAAGCAUUUUGCUCAAGAUUCUUGGUUGGGAGUAGGCUGAGGGGAUAGCUCAGUGUUAGAGAGAAUAUAAAUGCUGUUUUCUUCUCCUUUGGUGGUGGGACUUAUGGAAAUGUAGAGUGUUUAGUGUCUAUAGAGAGCUUAAAUUUUGUGGCUGGAAGCAUACUUCCGUGGAAUUAAGAUUUUAUUAUAUAGAUCUUACAUUCCUUCAGUUGGCCGAUUACCCCUGGGGCACCACAGGGUGGUGACAAGGGUGGGCCCUCCCAGAACCCUAGGGAAACUCCCUGCUUCAUCUCCUAUGGGGAAGCAAAUAACUACCCUUCAUCCUUCAAUCCAAGGGAGAGGAGAAAGCUGUAGGAGCAUCUCUGGGAGUGAGACCCUCCCCCACUCCACCUCCAAUGGGAGACAGUGAGAUGACCCUAUCUACUGGGGUGGGUCUAUGAUGCCAGAGGAGGGGAGAAGACAGAUGGAUGGGGACUUGUCCUCUUUCCCUUGGGAGAGGGGUGGUGGGCCCGGCCCUCCGUGCCAGGGGCUCCCAUAGUCAUUGACAAAAACUUGCAUCACGCAACAGUUCCACAGGUACAUCCCAAUUCUUGAGCUAAUAUACCUACUACCUUUUGCUUAGUUUUAUUACAGAUUGGGAGGAAAAAGGAAUGAGGCUGAAAGAUUGCCAGAACAUGGAGUCAGAGCUAACGAGGAAACAAUGGAGGAGGAACAUGGAAUUACUGCAGGAUACUUUUGGGAAGGCAGCUGUGUAGGUUUAAAAAAAAAGUGGCUCAGAAUGUAGCUUUGGGGGCUAGAAAAGAGUUCCUAAACCAUCAAGUGGGAAAGUGAGUACAGUAUUUGAGGGGGAUCUUAGACUUACAGCAGCUUGGGCCACUAUAAACCAGUGUCCUGGUCAUGUCCCGGGAACCUCACCCACUGUGCGUCUGCUGCUGUCCCAUUGCCAUAACCGGCACACCUCAGAUAUUCUUGCUGGUUAUGUGGGGUUUAUAUUGAGUUUGGUAGUGUGUGGGGACUGGUAAAAGGGCAAGGACUAGAGUAAAUACACUUUCUUUAUGACAUUCACCACAGCUAGAGAAGCCGCAGUUCAGAGUGGCUGUUCUAUAAUCACCACUGUAGCGCUGUGUUAAAGCCUAGCUUAGAAUGCGAGUGCUGUUAUAGUCAUCAUGUAUAUGACAAGUUAAAGGGCUCUUAACAUUGAGCUAUGGAACGAAUGUUUAGUAUGAGUGAAUGAAAAGAUUAUUGAAUAGAAAUACAAGCUAUCCAAUUGGCAGGGCUCUAAUCGCAAAGUAGUCUGAGCCUGAGUUAGCACAUGUGCAUAACUGAGUAGUGACUGUGGGAACUUGCGAAGUUACCAAAGGAGGGCAAAGAAAAUACUACGUGCAGCACGAUUCCUCUUGCAUGGUGAACCAUCUCAGCAUCUAUCCCACUGGAAUAACAUUGUGAGUGGGAUCACGGUGCAUGACAAAGCAUACGGUAUCAAUCUAGCCCAUCAGCAGUGUCCAGGCUGUGGUGAGAAACCAGAGAUGUAGUCUAACAAAAGAUGCAUAGGGAAUGGCACAUGCCAAGGAGAUGGACUAGAAGAACCCAGGGAAAGAGAAUUUUUGGAAGAGUCCACUGACAGCCAUCUCUCUGUCAGAAUACCUUUUUUAACGAGGUGCCAGCUCACGUCCCAGAUUGGUGACCCAGAGGCUGAGCUGAGAGUCACGGCUGUAGCCUGCUCAGAUAACUGUUGCCUUUAUUGAAACCUGCUGUGCUCGCAUUGACUCACAACAUGGUUGGGGACUCAGCUGGACAGCAUACCAAAUGCCAAGCAGAAAUUCCUAAUGCCACCAUCUGCCCAGAGGACUCCUUGUUAAUAAAUAUUAUGGCACAAACUAGAUGUUUAUCCAGGGAAAUGCAAUAGGGAAGCAACACUAGCAGAAAGGGAAAAUACAGUCUAAAAUGCCAUGGCAGUUGGAAAAUGUUUGUUUUCAUGAAAGAGAUGCAAUUCAGUCAAUUUCCCUCUGAUUUUGACAGGUUAAACUCUAAGUUUCACGUGUGUGGAGGCUAAGUCAAAAAAUGUUUCAGGGCAAACAAGAUGAGAAAAAGCAGCCUCUGUGUAUACACAAGAGGGAGCUAUGCAAAGGAACCAACGUCCACACUAUAGUCAGGGCCUCCCUGUGUGGCAAUCAGGAACCCGGACUCAGACGGAUCAUCCAGCACGAAAAGCUCUUGGCUUUUCUCUAGUUGAUACUUAGGUUCUAUCAGUCCUCUUUUCUUCUAAGGGCAUAUGAAACCGUGGCUGAUUUUGUCUGGUAAAGGAGGCCUUGGGAGAGGCUUAGAAAAUAAUGGGAUUAAAAUGCAGAGGAAGGACCAGAAGUGCAGCUGCCACAUGCUAUUAUUAGAACGGAUGGUGAAACACCUUUCUGCAAUCCAGGGGGCCUUCCUCUUCUGACCUCCCCUUUGGCCCUGAAUCUAAUCCUCUAAAUGCUGAGGAGGCAGCAUUAUGUGGUUGAAUUGUACUCUUGUUGGGUGGGAGCACUUUAGGCAAGCCCUUUGACACCUUCUUUUUGUCUUUUUAUUUUAAAGUAGGGAAUAGAGCCAAGUGAAGGCUAUUGUGAAGAGUAAGUCAUCCAUGGCUGUAACACACCAGCAUCGCCAGAUGGGGUGCGGGAAUGUAGGCAAUUUAUAAAAUCUUUGCAGCAGCUGCUGUGACCACAAGGGAUGAUACUGCCUUGAUUUAGCAUUUUUAAACUUAAGUAUUCACCUCAUGUUAAUGUAUGUAGCUGUGUUCUCUCAUUUGAGGUUGUUCAUUUGGAAAUACAGAAGGAUGAGGCAUUAUUCCUUUAAAUAAAAUAUUCCCUUUCAUUACAUCUGUGUCUCAAUGAUCCCUAAAGCAGAAAUUCAGUUCAAACAUUAAAUUCAAUAAUCAUAUAUUAAACAGUUACUCUGCAAUGCACUACGGAAACUGAAGAUGAAACAGACCAAGGAUCCCUGCCUCGAGGGGUUUAUAAGUUAGGAAGAGGAUGAAGGAAGUGUGCAAACAAUCAUGGCAAAAGAGAAAACACGUGAAAUAACUCAAGAGUGGUAAGUGCUAAGGUGGUUCAAUUGGGGGAAGAUUAUAUCCUCAGAGGAGAGUUUUGCACUGGAGAUAUACAUUUGGGAGUCAUGGGCACAUAUGUGAAAUUAAUGCUACGAGGGUGAAUGAGAUCAUCUAGGGAGAGAUAGAGAAGAGAAGAUAGACCCAGGCAAGGACCCUGGCUGCUUUAGUAUUUAGAAGCUGUAGAGUGGAGGAAGAGCCAGCAAGGGGGACUGAGAAGGAGAAGCCAGUGAUGAAGAGGAAAAUCAGCCAAGAGUGGCAUCUCAGAAGCUAAGUGUGGAAAGCAUUUCAAGGAGGAAUGGGUGGCCAACGGUGUAGCUAACCACUGGGAGGUUGUAUGAUCACUGGCUAUUUACUCAUAUGCCUGUCUUCUGUCUGUCUCCUCUUGUUUUAAACUGGUAAGUCCACAGGGCAGGGUGCAUGUCUGUUUUGCUCAUACCAUGUACUCAAUGCCUGGCACAGUACUUGGCACCUAGUAGGACUCAAGAUACAUUUGUUGCAGAAAGAAAGGAAGGAACAAAAGACAGUCUGAAGUGUUUAUACUUAAUUCAGUAGACAAAGAGUAGUAUCUGAAUAGCAUUUUCAGGUUUCUGACAUUGAGUUUGAUCUUAGCAAAAAAUGCAAGCCUUCUUUUUGAGGCCUGUACAGACCCAUUGGCCUUAUGCAUAGCUCCUCUCAAUGUCAUUAGGUAUCCUUCAGUCUGGAUGCACAGAAAUGAGGAAACAGCAGGAAUCUAUCUGACUGAAUCCUGCGUAAUCCUUUAGGACAGUAUUUGCCUAUAGAAUUUCGUGAGUCUUAAUGGCUGUGCCAUUACAAAAAGAAUUCUGUGAUUCCAAGCCCACGUUAAAUAGGUAUCUUUACAGCAGGGGUUCUCAGAGCAUUUAAUAUGGUAAUAAGAGUUGUAAAUAUUAAGAGGAGGCUAUUAAUAUGUAGCAUUUGCCAAAAUUAUCUGAUGGUGGAAUUCUUUUAAAUUGUGCAACCACUGUUAACAUCUUGAGGGAUGGUGACAUUCUGAAGAAUAAUUGGGCAAAUGUUGCUCCAGAAGAAUUCUAAGAAGAAAAAAAAUCAUUUUAAAUUCCUUUUUAGUUGACAGCAGGAGAAACUCCCCAGGAUGGAGACAAAUUACAUGGGUGGAGUUAAAGGGUAUGGUGGGUUAUAAUUAUUAUUCUGAAGUAUUUGAUCCUUCUUUCCAUGAGAAAGGGUUAUUGCUUCCUACCCAUUGCUAUGUGUCUUGCAGUGCCUUCUGCGGGAAAGGUGUGAGUCCCUGACUAGUUGAUCUUGUGCUUGACCAUGGAAGGGCUUUGGCCGAUGAAUGUGAGUGGACAUAAUGUCUGCUGUGUCUGAGCAGAAGUUUUAAGAAGUAUCUGGAGUUUCUGCUAGCAUUUCUCUUGUUCUUUUUCUUCUGUCAUAAAAACAGUGUGGAGGGGCGUGGUGGCUCAUGCCUAUAAUCUCAGUACUUUGGGUGGUUAAGGCAGCUAGACUGCUUGAGCCCAGGAGUUCGAGACUGGCCUGGGCAACAUGGCAAAACCCCAUCUCUACAAAAUAAAAUAAAAUAAAAUAAAAAAUUA